CAACUCCCACCCUUCUCUAACAUUUCUCCAUUUCCCCCCCCAGAUUCCACCUCCCUCUCCGCCCCACGCCUCUUCCCUCUCGUCCCGUGCUCCCAAUCCGCCUCCGUCUACUCCGUCGGCUGCGCCGCCUUCGACUUCCUCCCCAAAUCCAUCAGCUUCUCCUGGUACGACUCCUCCAACCGAACCGUCACCGGCGUGGAUUUCCCCUCCGCCGGUCCCGGUGCCCGCGGUUACCGGGCCGCCAGCCGCCUUCAGAUGGAUCUGACGGAAGGAAAACUCCGACAACCCUUCCGCUGCCGCGCCGUGCACAACCGUGGCAGCCCCUCCAUCCCGGUUGCAAACCCCGGUGAGAAACGGGAUAAUGGGCUUGGGGUUCCAACUCUUGGUGGCCAACUGUGGUCCGUCUACGUCUUCCCCCCUCCCGCGGAUCAACUCAACGCCCGCCAACGCGUCACCGUCACCUGCCUGCUCCAGGGCUUCAACCCGCCCCAUUUUUUCGUCCGCUGGCUGAGGAACGGCGAAACCCUCCCCGAAUCCCAGGCCGUCACCUCCGACCCCAUGGCGGAAAACCCCCACAACGAUUCCUACGUGGCCUACAGCUUCCUGACGUUGGAGGCGGCCGAGUGGGGAGCGGGCAACGUCUACACCUGCGUGGUGGGGCACGAGGCCCUGUCCAUGCAGUUGGUCCAGAAGUCGGUGGAUAAAGCUUCGGGUAAAGCCAGCGCCGUCAACGUCUCCCUGGUGUUGGCCGAUUCGGCGGCCGCCUGCUAUUAAUUGAGGCGUUAAUUGGCGAAGCGGUGAUUGGAUCGGGGAUUAAAGCGGCGUUUUUUUCCUGCGGA